rnacentral:rRNA from 1 species
UACGUAGGUGGCGAGCGUUGUCCGGAAUUAUUGGGCGUAAAGAGCGCGUAGGUGGCUUGUCAGGUCCGAUGUGAAAACCUGGGGCUCAACUCCAGGCCUGCAUCGGAAACCGGCUUGCUAGAGUCUGGGAGAGGAGAGUGGAAUUCCUGGUGUAGCGGUGAAAUGCGUAGAUAUCAGGAGGAACACCGGUAGCGAAGGCGGCUCUCUGGAACAGUACUGACGCUGAGGCGCGAAAGCUAGGGUAGCGAACAGGAUUAGAUACC